AUGAAAUCUCUGUGGCUUUUCCUGUCCCUGUUCUCUGCCCCGUCCUAUGUUCUCUCCCAGAUGCAGUUGAUCGAGCCCGGCCCGGGCGUGGUGAAGCCCGGAGAGACCCUCAGCAUCACCUGUGAAGUCUCCGGAGUCUCCGUCAGCAGCUACCAUUGGUGCGGGGCCCGGCAGCCCCCCGGGAAAGGGCUGGAGUGGAUGGCAGUUAUCUGCAGCACUGCACAGGGAGGGACCACAGAGUACAACUCGGCUCUCACACCUCGGGUCACCAUCACCAGGGACCCCUCGAAGGAGGAAGUUUAUCUCCAGCUCCGCUCCCUGGCAGCUGCGGACACCGGCACCUAUUACUGUGCCCGACACACGGUGACACGGAGCACCGGGACUCGCACAGAAAGGGGAAGCGGAUUUCUAAAUAGUGUCCUGUCUCAGGUGCCCCUGGUCCAGUCCGGCCUGGGUGCGGCGAAGCCUGGAGAGGUUCUCGCCCUGACCUGCGCUGUCUCCGGGGUCUCCGUCACUGACAGCAGUUACUACUGGCAAUGGAUCCGACAGGCUGUCGGGAAUAGGGCUGGAAUGGACGGGACUCCUACGUCCAAAUAG